rnacentral:lncRNA from 1 species
GACUCAUUCGGGUAGCCGUCGUUGCCCUGGGAUACCAGGAGACGCCUUGUCCUGAGCGUCCUGUAUCUAUAGAGACGACAACAUGGCGGCGCUGUGAGUGCUGAGCGUUCGUCCCAGGGACUAGGGGAGCUUCGCGAGUGGCAAGGGAAGGAGGCAAGACACGUUCAGAGGAAAAAGUAGAGAGUAAAAGCCAGAUCAAGGUAAUACCUAUGCUUCAGUGACACUCACUGGGGGCUUGCUGAGAGAUGCCACGUGUG